rnacentral:rRNA from 1 species
UACGUAGGGUGCGAGCGUUGUCCGGAAUUACUGGGCGUAAAGAGCUCGUAGGUGGUUUGUCGCGUUGUUCGUGAAAACUCACAGCUCAACUGUGGGCGUGCGGGCGAUACGGGCAGACUGGAGUACUGCAGGGGAGACUGGAAUUCCUGGUGUAGCGGUGGAAUGCGCAGAUAUCAGGAGGAACACCGGUGGCGAAGGCGGGUCUCUGGGCAGUAACUGACGCUGAGGAGCGAAAAGCGUGGGGGAGCGAAACAGG